rnacentral:tRNA from 1 species
GGUUCCAUAGUGUAGCAAUUAGCAUGUCUGCUUUCCACGCAGAAGAUCCUAAGUUCAUGCCCCAGUGGAGCCA